AGAAAAAGAAAGAAAAAAAUCAGCCUCUAAUAACAGCAGAAAUGCAUGUAAUAUGCAGCACAGCCCUCUGUGAAUCAAAAGAAAAGUGACCCAAUUUGCUGCUCACUCCUACGACUUUUUGGACUUAACUUCGCAAAAUAAAGCAUUUGAGUGUCAAACCCAGUCCAAAACCUCUAAAGGAAUUACUGUAAC